ensembl:lncRNA
CCGCGCAGUAGGUGUGGGUGGGAGGCGAUACUCCUGCUCCUGGGAGGUCUGGCAGGAGCAGGUGCUGGUGGCCAGAGGAGGGGCCUUCCGGGAGGAGCGGUGGCAAGGAGGGGAGGCCGGGGCCGGAGGAGGAGGGCUCCAUGCUCUGUGGGAGGGUGUGCGGCCGGUCUCUCAGACCUCAGGCCCCAUGUAGGUGGCACUGUGACACUGAGCCAAUAGCGAAGAGGAAGGAGAGCGGCCUACAGGCUGGUGUGUGCCUCUGCAUCGCGUCCUGGUCGCCAGCCCCAGGCCCCUAACGACCUCUCACUCUCUAGCAGGGUGGAGUCCAUGGAAGUCGACCUCACCUCCUCCCCAAGGAGAAAACCCGAGGCCACGGCCGGCCCCGCAAGGAUCUCCGUGAUCAGUCCACCUCGAGACGGACGCAUGGGCAGCGUGGCCCACCACCCUCAGCACCUCAGCCUGACGCCACGUCGCUCCAGCGAACCCCAGGCUCCCAGGUGGGUGAAGUGGGAGCGUGAGGGGCCACCCGCCUCGCCGGCUACUUCGUGUGUUUGAAGCUAGAAUGUAAUUUAGUGGGAGCCCUGUUGCUAAAACCCAGGAGCACUGCGUGUGGCUGCACAGCCGGUCACCCCAAGACUGGCCCGGGGGUGGUGAGUUCCCUGUGGGCCCUGCAUCCGGGGGGCCUGGCUAUGUCCCCACCGCUCUGUUUACAGAAGCAAGUGGGGUGCGUCUCCCAGCCCGAGCGGCGUGCCGGCACCUCCCUCGGCCAAGCUUGUCCUGGAUGUGCGGCCGCCUUCUCUGCUGCACAUCCAAGCGCUCGCUGGCUGCCCCUCAGGGCUCGUUCUUAAGAUGGAAGCUCCGGUGGCCUCUCUAAAAGGCAGACCCUCCCCUCUCACCCCUCCUCACCCAAGGUCCCACAGCGACAAGUCCACAUUUUGCCGUCUGGCACAGUCCAGCCCUGGCCUCCAGAUUGCAUGCCCAUUGCCCCUCGGUUCACGAUGCCGUCCCUACUCACCUACCUGACCACAGGCUGCCCUCCACCCCACCCCACACCACAGGGAGCUGGGCCCUCCACCCAGUGCCCUGUGACCCCCAGGGAGCCAGGCCCGCCCACCUCCAGCUCGGUGCCCUCUUGUUUGUAACCGGACUUUUUCGGCGGGGAUAGCCAGAGGGGUCCAGCGGGGGGGGGGGGGGGGGGGUUCCGACGACUGGCAGGACUCUGCAGCAUGGUAAAGGGCAGCCUUUCUUGGGGGCCCUGGCACGGUCACCUCAGCCCAGAAAGGGCCUCCUGUGAGGUGGCCUGCUAGUGCGCUACAUGUGCAGCUGCUCCCGCAGGCCCAGCAGCCCCAAGCUCGCCACGUGGCUGGCCUCUCGUUCUCGGAACAUGUCUUGAGUCUGCACGUGGCCUUGAAUGCUAGAAAGCCAUUGAGGCUUAGUUACUGUGUUACUGAAUUCAUCACAGGAUCCCAGCGCUGCGGCUCCCCUGUGAGGGGUGGACCGGGAGCCCAGCGCCCCCAGCGGCCAGCGGAGCGGGGAGAGGGGUGGCACCCAGGCCCCCCAUCAGCAUCGCGGGCCUGCUGCAGAGGCAGCAUUUAAGCAAGUGCUGCUUUGAAAAGUAAACGCUUUUCCCUGAAAUGCACGUGUGAGAAUGUCUGUGUGGUGAGAGCAGACACGAGACUGGAACUUGGAACGUUCUUAAGAAUCGUGUUCUGAGCGUCUCGGUGGUUUGGAACCGGUGGUGUCCGCAGUGAAUCCCACGUGGGUCAUGCUCUGGACACCUCCUGCAGGGUCUGCCGGCCUCAGGGUUCAGGUGCGGGAGUGAGAGGCCCCGCGUGCCCUCAGUCACGUCACAGCGCUGGCAAGUCCCUCGCGCAGUGGAUAAACAUCUCGGCCUUCAGAUGCCAGCGCUGGGGUGGGACGGGCACCACCUGUGGCCUCCCUGCUGGCUGCGUCUGGUCGCGACUUGGCUCCUGUUCAGCAGCAGU